GUGGUUCGCAGGAAGCAUACACUGGCUUUUUGAUUCUUGCUAGUUCCCAGCUCACAGUUUGGGAGGAUCCAACACCAACCUUUACGUGAAGUGGAGGCCCAAGGACAGUGAGGAGCUGGGUGGUCCCAGCCUGGAGCUGUGCCAGCCUGACAUGGGCUACACUCAGGUCUUUGCUGUCUGGUUCCAGAGCCGAACCUUCUUUCCCCCACGCACAGGAAUCUUUCCUUUCCGGUGACCAGGGCCCUGCAGAUGUCGCCAGGAAAGUGGUGAUCCAGGCAGGACCAGGCUGCACUGAAGGGACAGAGAGCACCUGAGCAAGUGAGCUUGUGAAGAAGGGUAGAUUCUAAGAAAUGGACGAAGAGGAAGGGGCAAAAACCCCUCCCACCUAGAUGAAGAUCCCUAGAUUAAAGAUCCAGUAUGGGAGCAGAUAGACACUUAUGAUUGUGUGAAAGUGGCAUCAUCACUAAAAUGGAGGCAAACGACCAUUUUAACUUUACUGGCCUUCCCCCUGCACCUGCUGCCUCAGGACUGAAACCCUCUCCUUCCUCAGGGGAGGGCCUCUACACUAACGGGUCUCCCAUGAACUUCCCCCAGCAAGGGAAAAGUUUGAAUGGGGAUGUGAAUGUUA
rnacentral:lncRNA from 1 species